CCUACGGGUGGCAGCAGUGAGGAAUAUUGGUCAAUGGGCUUACGCCUGAACCAGCCAAGUCGCGUGAGGGAAGACUGCCCUAUGGGUUGUAAACCUCUUUUGUCAGGGAGCAACGCCGGCUACGUGUAGCCGGACUGAGAGUACCUGAAGAAAAAGCAUCGGCUAACUCCGUGCCAGCAGCCGCGGUAAUCCGGAGGAUGCGAGCGUUAUCCGGAUUUAUUGGGUUUAAAGGGUGCGGAGGCGGAAUGCCAAGUCAGCGGUAAAAUCGCGGGGCUCAACCUCGCUCCGCCGUUGAAACUGGCGGUCUUGAGUGGGCGAGAAGUAUGCGGAAUGCGUGGUGUAGCGGUGAAAUGCAUAGAUAUCACGCAGAACUCCGAUUGCGAAGGCAGCAUACCGGCGCCCAACUGACGCUGAAGCACGAAAGCGUGGGUAUCGAACAGGAUUAGAUACCCUAGUAGUC
rnacentral:rRNA from 1 species